GCCGGGCGUGGUGGCGGGUGCCUGUAGUCCCAGCUACUCGGGAGGCUGAGACAGGAGAAUCGCUUGAACCCGGGAAGUGGAGGUUGCAGUGAGCCGAGAUCGCUCCACUGCACUCCAGCCUGGGUGACACAGUGAGACUCUGUCUCAC
rfam:Homo sapiens chromosome X, GRCh38 reference primary assembly.